GACGAACGCUGGCGGCGUGCUUAACACAUGCAAGUCGAGCGGUAAGGCCCUUUCGGGGGUACGACGAGCGGCGAACGGGUGAGUAACACGUGGGUGACCUGCCCUCAGCUCUGGGAUAAGCCUGGGAAACCGGGUCUAAUACCGGAUAUGACUCCAUGACGCAUGUUGGUGGGGUAGGAAAGCCUUGUGCGGCUGAGGAUGGGCCCGCGGCCUAUCAGCUUGUUGGGUGGGGUGANGGCCUACCAAGGCGACG
rnacentral:rRNA from 1 species